rnacentral:misc_RNA from 1 species
GUAGGUGAACCUGCGGAAGGAUCAUUGCAAAUCGAGAGGGGGUAGGUGUGGGGGAGAGAGCGUGAGAUGGAAGGGUGCGGAGAGGAUGGCGUGCUGCGUGGUUUACUGCGCGGUGCUGCCUGCUCGCUGCGUGCUCUCUCAUCAUACACUGCUCUGCCACGCCCGCCGCCGACAUUUGGUCGGGAUGCGAGUCCCGGAUCAUAUUCACGCUUGUGCUGUUUGACAGAGUAAUGAUAUAUGAAUUAUGACAACUUUUAACAAUGGAUCUCUUGGCUCUU